AAGGGAGCGGAGAAACCCCUAGCCGACGACGACGAGCCUCCACCGCUCUCGUCUCGCCUCUGCACUCGACAAGCCGCUGCCGACGACGACGACUGGUGAGAAACCUAGACGACGACGAGCCUCCACGCCUCCACUGGACCACCGUCUCCGGCUCUCCGCGUCUCGGUCUCGCGGCUCUCCGCUCUCGCCUCUGCAAAUCACGAGUUCACGACUCGUCAAACAAAGUUACAAAACCCCAAAAAUCCCCCUAAGUCGCGACUCGCGACUGCCUCGGGCCGUCUGCCCGUCUUCGAUCUCGUUCGGGCUCGCAUUGGGCCCGGGCUCGGGCUGGGCCCGGGCCGGGCCAAUGGAAAACCCGAGCCCGGCCCGAAAUAGAAUUGGGCUUAAGAUUUCAGCCCGAGCCCGGCCCGAAAUAGAAUUGGGCUUAAGUUUUUAACCCAUAGCCCGGCCCGCAGGCAGCCCGGCCCGAUGGGCUUCGGGCCGGCCCGAGCCCACUUCCAGCCC
rnacentral:lncRNA from 1 species